UAGUUACUUGGGACAACAGUUUUAGCAGGGCUCUCUUUCUCCUUUCCUGAUCUCUCUGUUAAGCUGCCUGGCUCAUUUGAUAUCACAUCCAAAUUAUCAGCUGAUUGCUCUAUUGUUUUGGACAAUGCCCUGAAGCAUACCAAAAUGUGUCUGGAAUUGGUGGGUUCUUGGUCUUACUGACUUUAAGAAUGAAGUUGCGGACUUUUGCGGUGAUCCACCCUACCACAUAUUGUCUCCUAAUGGCCGUCCAGUUUAUCCUGGAGCCCUUGCAUGACACAGGCCUAUCGAAGCAUAGGAGAUGCCAAUAUUUUACCUCUUGGGUACUUUCUGUGUAGAAGAUUCAUAACAAGAACAAUACUUAUUCUGCAAUUCUUUAUAUAAAGUAAGAAGAAAGCCCAAAGACAAAACCAGAGGCAACUGGCUGCUGCAUCGCCCACCUAGUGGCAGUAGUGUGAGCUAUGGACAAAAGAUCUAAGUCUCCAGGACAAAGAGUUGUGCAGCUGCUCAUUUUCCUGUUGACUUCUGUCUAAGACUUGGAGAUGUUUGUAAGAUUGGGACCUACCUACAGAGCUCCAGAGGGAAGUGAGAAGGAUGUUCACUUGCUGGUGAGAGAAGGAGCUGGUUCCAUCCAUUACGCAGUCCCCUGGGAGCGCUAAAUGCAACUUUAUCUCAACGGGGAGUGGACGAUGAGCAGGACGUCGCUAGAGGGAAAGAGCCUCACUUCCCGUUUCCUUUGGCAGCGCCCUUUUCCCGACCUAAGGGAGCAGACCUUCGUUGGUUGGCGUGAGGACUGGCGGGAGAGGUUUUGUGCCAGGAUCCGCACUGUCUGGGGUGAACGCUCCUCACCUUUGACCUGAACCGCCAACUUCCCAUCCUCCACUUUUGGAGAGCGCGCCUGAUAGCUGCUGCCCACCUGGGCACUGACAUCCUCCUUCCGACCGGGUGCGGAGAAAGCACAAAGGAAGUAGACCAAGGAGACUGAAGGUGGUUAUGAAGACUGUGCAUCUCUGAGGACAUCUUAAACAAAGAUGACCCAAAUCUUUGAUCUUCAAAUAGUCGAUGUGAACUGCUUAACAAAAUGCCCUGGGAAAACUCUGUCUGAAACAAGCAGCUUGGGGGUUUGAUUUCAUUAGUUACUGGACAAGAACUGGAAUGGAGUGAAAAAUCUUCAUUCAUUUCUUGGUCAGAUGGAGAGAGGAGAAAAAAAGAAGUGGGUUUCCAUUCACUUCCAUUUUCUAACUGAUCAUUAGUUAGAGAACCUUUGGAAAGGUUUAGCUCAGUUUUUUCUUCCAACUUAUCAGGUUCCUCAAGAAAUUCACUGCCUUGAGAUGACUUUGAUAACCCAUCCAAAUCCAGUGACUUAAAACCGUUAUUACAAGGGCUCUUGCUGUUGUCUGACUCUGACAUCAUUGAAUCCAACUCAGAGAUUUUGUCAAGGUAAGCAGCAUCCAUCGAUGCUUCACUGGAUGUUCUUGUCCGGUUCAUUUCAAAAGAGCGAAUAGAAUUCAACCUUUUGGAUAAACAUAAGCCUGAUUUCUCACUCAAUUUUGAAGAUAUUUCUCCAACAGAAUUUGCUAUCGUGUUCCCCUCUGAACUUUCAAAAUCUAAGUUUUGGGCAUAGCUUGUGGAACAACAGUCCCAAAAUCCUGUCUUUGGGGAAGAAAAACAUUCUGAUUUCUUUUCAUUUUCACUUCUACUUAUAUCAUCUUCUGAAGAAUCUUUAUUAGAAACAUUUGAAGAAUCACAAAAAUCAUCAAACACCAAUUUUCUGAGAUGGUUUGAGUGCUUUUUGGAACCUCCUGCUUGGACCACAGAGCUCUCUCUAUUUUCUGGAGUACUGAGCUGAAGGCAACUAAGGGACAAAGGAGUACAAGGAGCUGGAAGAUCAUAAAGUUCUUCAUCUUUGUAGGGUACACAGUCACUUGGUUUAUUCCCCCAUUCUCUUUCCAAAUAAGUAUCCAUACUUGUAUCUGUCACAUCUAACAUUACUUCUACCUGUUCUUGAUAUAGGUCUUUGUUCUUAGAACAGUUAAGGUCUGCUUUGCUGGUACUUUCCUGCCUUGCAGAACUGGUGUCACACAGUCUGCUGCUGGAAGGCUUCGCUAGGUGAGAAGAACUGGAGGUGGAUGAGCCAGGCUGCUUUCUGGCACUAUCGCCUUGAUUCUUUGACACCACAUCCUCCUCACUGCCUUUGCUCCCUUUGCCAUCUGCAGAAAGUGCUGUCUGGCAAAUGGAAUUCAUAGCUUCUUUCUCUUCACUUGAAUUUUUUAGCUGUGCAACUUGAGAUUCUAGUUCCUCUAUAUACUUAUCACUUCGUUCCAGGGCUUUCUUGAGGCGAUUGGUUUCACGCUCAUACUGUUCUACUUUGGACUGAAGAGCAGCAACUGCAAACCUUCCAAACCUACAAAGAAUGGAAAGAUAGUUAAUCUUAUAACUCAAGCUUUUUUCUUUUCAAGGUUUGAGAGUGCAAACUGUCCCAGGCUAUUCUAAUUUCACCUAACAGUGACAUUUCAGACCACUCAAUGAGUAGGGCAAAUGCCAGAUGUAUAUUUUCAAAAAAUGGUUUCCCCACUUACAUAAUAAUAAACAUAUGAUAAUAAUAG
rnacentral:lncRNA from 1 species